GGUCAGUCAUUGUUACUGCAAGUAAAUUUCUUCUAAUUCCAAGAUGGCCAACAAACAGCAACCUCUGUCGACCACUGCUGGCAUAUCCUCUCAAUCCUUUUAUAGUAGAAGAGCCCAACAGGACAUCUCCCCCUGCUGCCAGGACCUGUCAAGCAGGAGCAUCUCAAAGUAAAGAGGUGAAAGGACACCAAUUAGAAAGCCAUCCACGGCUAAGAGAGCCAGUGGCACAGCUUGCCACAGGAAGUGGGAUAUCUGACUUCCUGCAUGGGGUCACAGCUGUUUGUGGGGAGGUUACUGCUACAAGCCAAUACGUGGAGGGAUCAGAGUGAGGGACUUUGCUGGAAUUAGGGGAGUAUGGUAAAGUCAAAAGAGCGGGACCGGCUCUUUUCAGCCAAGCUGUUUCAGACUCUGCAUGCAUUUGACAC